AACUCUCGGCAACGGAUAUCUCGGCUCUCGCAUCGAUGAAGAUUGUAGCGAAAUGCAACACUUGGUGUGAAUUGCAGAAUCCCGCGAACGAUCGACUCUUUGAACGCAAGUUGCGCCCGAGGCAACUCGGCCGGUAACGCGGAUGACUAGGUAUAG
rnacentral:rRNA from 1 species